rnacentral:rRNA from 1 species
GUGUCAGCAGCCGCGGUAAGACGAACCGUGCGAACGUUGUUCGGAAUCACUGGGCUUAAAGGGCGCGUAGGCGGACCAUCAAGUCCGGGGUGAAAUCUUUCGGCUUAACCGGAAAAGUGCCUUGGAUACUGGUGGUCUCGAGUGAGGUAGGGGCAUGUGGAACUUCUGGUGGAGCGGUGAAAUGCGUUGAUAUCAGAAGGAACUCCGGUGGCGAAGGCGACGUGCUGGACCUCUUCUGACGCUGAGGCGCGAAAGCUAGGGGAGCGAACGGGAUUAGAUACCCCGGUAGUCC